ACAGGGAUUGCCCUAGUAACGGCGAGUGAAGCGGCAACAGCUCAAAUUUGAAAUCUGGCUCUUUCAGAGUCCGAGUUGUAAUUUGCAGAGGGCGCUUUGGCGUUGGCAGCGGUCCAAGUUCCUUGGAACAGGACGUCACAGAGGGUGAGAAUCCCGUACGUGGUCGCUGGCCUUCGCCGUGUAAAGCCCCUUCGACGAGUCGAGUUGUUUGGGAAUGCAGCUCUAAAUGGGAGGUAAAUUUCUUCUAAAGCUAAAUACUGGCCAGAGACCGAUAGCGCACAAGUAGAGUGAUCGAAAGAUGAAAAGCACUUUGGAAAGAGAGUCAAAUAGCACGUGAAAUUGUUGAAAGGGAAGCGCUUGCAGCCAGACUUGCCUGUAGUUGCUCAUCCGGGCUUUUGCCCGGUGCACUCUUCUGCGGGCAGGCCAGCAUCAGUUUGGGCGGUUGGAUAAAGGUCUCUGUCAUGUACCUCUCUUCGGGGAGGCCUUAUAGGGGAGACGUCAUACAACCAGCCUGGACUGAGGUCCGCGCAUUUAUGCUAGGAUGCUGGCGUAAUGGCUGUAAGCGGCCCGUCUUGAAACACGGACCAAGGAGUCUAACAUCUAUGCGAGUGUUUGGGUGUCAAGCCCGAACGCGUAAUGAAAGUGAACGGAGGUGGGACCCCAUUAGGGUGCACCAUCGACCGAUCCUGAUGUCUUCGGAUGGAUUUGAGUAAGAGCAUGGCUGUUGGGACCCGAAAGAUGGUGAACUAUGCUUGAAUAGGGUGAAGCCAGAGGAAACUCUGGUGGAGGCUCGCAGCGGUUCUGACGUGCAAAUCGAUCGUCAAAUUUGGGCAUAGGGGCGAAAGACUAA
rnacentral:rRNA from 3 species